GACGAACGCUGGCGGCGUGCCUAAUACAUGCAAGUCGAGCGGGCCUCCGGAGGUGCUUGCACCUCCGGAAGGCCAGCGGCGGACGGGUGAGUAACACGUGGGCAACCUGCCUUUGAGGCCGGGACAACACCGGGAAACCGGUGCUAAUACCGGAUACGUCCUCUUUCGCGCCUGCGAGAGGGGAGAAAGACGGUCUUUAGGGCCGUCGCUCAAAGAGGGGCCCGCGGUGCAUUAGCUGGUUGGUGGGGCAAGGGCCUACCAAGGCGACGAUGCGUUGCCGACCUGAGAGGGUGAUCGGCCACACUGGGACUGAGACACGGCCCAGACUCCUGCGGGAGGCAGCAGUAGGGAAUCAUCCGCAAUGGGCGGAAGCCUGACGGUGCAACGCCGCGUGAGUGAGGAAGGUUUUCGGAUCGUAAAGCUCUGUUGUGAGGGAAGAACAGCAUCCGGAGGAAAUGCCGGAGGUUUGCCGGUACCUCACCAGAAAGCCCCGGCUAACUUCGUGCCAGCCGCCGCCGUAAGAC
rnacentral:rRNA from 1 species